rnacentral:misc_RNA from 1 species
GAUGAAGAACGUAGCGAAAUGCGAUACGUAAUGUGAAUUGCAGAAUUCAGUGAAUCAUCGAGUCUGUGAACGCACAUUGCGCCCCCUGGUAUUCCGGGGGGCAUGCCUGUCCGAGCGUCAUUGCUGCCCUCAAGCACGGCUUGUGUGUUGGGCCUCCGUCCUCCUCCCGGGGGACGGGCCCGAAAGGCAGCGGCGGCACCGCGUCCGGUCCUCGAGCGUAUGGGGCUUCGUCACCCGCUCUUGUAGGCCCGGCCGGCGCUUGCCGACACAUCAAUCUUUUUUCCAGGUUGACCUCGGAUCAGGUAGGGAUACCCGCUGAACUUAAGCAUAUCAAUAAGCGGAGGA